rnacentral:rRNA from 1 species
AUUGAACGCUGGCGGCAGGCCUAACACAUGCAAGUCGAACGAGUGGCGGACGGGUGAGUAAUGUCUGGGAAACUGCCCGAUGGAGGGGGAUAACUACUGGAAACGGUAGCUAAUACCGCAUACCAUCGGAUGUGCCCAGAUGGGAUUAGCUUGUAGGUGGGGUAACGGCACACCUAGGCGACGAUCCCUAGCUGGUCUGAGAGGAUGACGAGCAAAACGGGCACUGAGACACGGCCCAGACUCCUAGGGGAGGGAGAAGGGGGGAAGAUUGCACAAUGGGAGCAAGCGUGAUGCAGCCGUGCGGGGUGUAUGAAGAAGGCCUUAGGGUUGUAAAGUACUUUCAGUGGGGAGGCGUUACCCACAGAAGAAGCACCGGCUAACUCCGUGCCAGAAGCCGCGGUAAUAC